rnacentral:lncRNA from 1 species
GAGACUUUCAGUGAAACGGCUCGGUCGGAUGGCCGAGACCAAAUGGUGCAAUGCAACCUCUUGUUUGAGCCCUCGGAUGUUCAUGCAUGCUUUGUUGAACCUAUCUAGAAAGGUUCUAAGAGAUUCACCUUUUUCUUGUUGUACCGCUAGGAGAGACAUGGAGGACAUGUGAUGCGGUCGGCUAGUGGCAUAUUGAGUGGAGAAUUUUGCGGCUAGGAUGUCAAAAUCGUUAAUGGAGUUUGGAGGCAACUCUGUG